rnacentral:tRNA from 1 species
GGGCCGUUAGCUCAGCUGGUAGAGCAGCGGACUUUUAAUCCGUUGGUCGGCGGUUCGAAUCCGCCACGACCUACCA